UGGGGAAUAUUGCACAAUGGGCGCAAGCCUGAUGCAGCCAUGCCGCGUGUAUGACGAAGGCCUUCGGGUUGUAAAGUACUUUCAGCGAGGAGGAAGGCGCUGUGGUUAAUAACCGCAACGAUUGACGUUACUCGCAGAAGAAGCACCGGCUAACUCCGUGCCAGCAGCCGCGGUAAUACGGAGGGUGCAAGCGUUAAUCGGAAUUACUGGGCGUAAAGCGCACGCAGGCGGUCUGUCAAGUCGGAUGUGAAAUCCCCGGGCUCAACCUGGGAACUGCAUCCGAAACUGGCAGGCUAGAGUCUUGUAGAGGGGGGUAGAAUUCCAGGUGUAGCGGUGAAAUGCGUAGAGAUCUGGAGGAAUACCGGUGGCGAAGGCGGCCCCCUGGACAAAGACUGACGCGCAGGUGCGAAAGCGUGGGGAGCAAACA
rnacentral:rRNA from 1 species